rnacentral:rRNA from 1 species
AAAGGGCGCGUAGGCGGCCGAUUAAGUCGGGGGUGAAAGCCUGUGGCUCAACCACAGAAUUGCCUUCGAUACUGGUUGGCUUGAGACCGGAAGAGGACAGCGGAACUGCGAGUGUAGAGGUGAAAUUCGUAGAUAUUCGCAAGAACACCAGUGGCGAAGGCGGCUGUCUGGUCCGGUUCUGACGCUGAGGCGCGAAAGCGUGGGGAGCAAACAGGAUUAGAUACCCCAGU